GGAUCCCUCGCGGGUGCACC
rnacentral:siRNA from 1 species